UCAACACGUGCAGUUCAGUCAUGUCUUAGUCAAACACCCACGAGCGGUACUGUAGUGUCGCACAGCUUACAAGAAACGCAAUCAGUACGACCUGGUCCCCACGAGCCGUAUGUACACCCUGUACGAUGCCUUCCUAUAAGUACACAACCUAGACUACACACGGGUUCAACAUCCCCCUGUAGUUGCGGCUUACUACGUACUCCUUCGACACAGCGUCUACGUGUUACGCAACAAAAGUACAAAUUGACUUAAGAAGCGUUUCACCGUAACAUGCAGUCUAUCUACCUUUGCCUCCAAAGGGUCUUAUUGCCUUCUGUAAAAGUGUUCCCCCUCCACGUUUCAAAGCGUGUAUACUAAUACCAGAAGUUCUGCUGCGUGUUAGAUGGACCGUGUGCUCAAACACUUUCAAGUGAGCUACUAGACGAGCAUGUACUACAACCCCAUCAGUGGUACCAACGGGAACUCCCAGUCUUGAAGUAUCCGGUAGAGGAAGGCUUCCAUUGAUGCCCAUGCCCUUACCAUACCGCAACCUCCUGUGCAGUUAGCGGGUGCUAGUGGACAGUCUGGUGUCGUCGUCAUGUAAACUCUCCAUUACGAUACACAUAGUCGACUUUUACAAUACCCCUAAAUAGGUGUGUGGACCUGCAAGUAGCCCCCACUGUAGUAGCAGGUUCAACUCACGUGCCCCACGGAGACCCGUCUGACGAACACAUUACUAGCGCACUAGAAGUCCCUUGGGUCCUCGUGCGUCGAAACCACUACCACAACGUUUGCCAAGAUGAACACCUACGGGACAAUAAGUUGCUAAUACAUACAUACUCAACUUCCGUCCUUGUCAUACUACAACAAAGUUACAGACUUGUUACAGAACGUUAGUAUCCUUCAUAUACGUGUGGACUUUCUACGUAAUCGCUCAGGCGUGUCUGGUACAAAUGCGCACGAAGUAGGUGAAGCAGACUACGUUUACACCAACAUAUCGUCCUUUCCGUCAAAAAAACAAUAACUUUUCCUCUUGGUAAAAAAAACGGAUUUGUUACAAACUAAACUUGUUUAAUCUACUGUGAAAACAAAAAAUGGACAUCAUACUACGACAACCGUCAGUUGCAAACUACGUAAACUUACGACUGGAUCUAGCCUAUCGACGAAUACGAAGACGAAAAAUACUUAACG
rnacentral:rRNA from 1 species